rnacentral:rRNA from 1 species
GAUGAACGCUGGCGGCGUGCUUAACACAUGCAAGUCGAGCGGAAAGGCCCAAGCUUGCUUGGGUACUCGAGUGGCGAACGGGUGAGUAACACGUGGGUGAUCUGCCCUGCACUUCGGGAUAAGCCUGGGAAACUGGGUCUAAUACUGGAUAGGACCACUUCUUGGAUGUUGUGGUGGAAAGUUUUUUCGGUGUGGGAUGAGCUCGCGGCCUAUCAGCUUGUUGGUGGGGUAAUGGCCUACCAAGGCGUCGACGGGUAGCCGGCCUGAGAGGGUGUACGGCCACAUUGGGACUGAGAUACGGCCCAGACUCCUACGGGAGGCAGCAGUGGGGAAGAUUGCACAAUGGGCGCAAGCCUGAUGCAGAGACGCCGCGUGGGGGAUGACGGCCUUCGGGUUGGAAACUCCUUUCGCUAGGGACGAAGCGUUUUGUGACGGUACCUGGAGAAGAAGCACCGGCUAACUACGUG